GNNUUNNNNUUGUAACCUCUUUCANCANGGAAGAAGCGAGAGUGACGGUACCUGCAGAAGAAGCGCCGGCUAACUACGUGCCAGCAGCCGCGGUAAUACGUAGGGCGCAAGCGUUGUCCGGAAUUAUUGGGCGUAAAGAGCUCGUAGGCGGCUUGUCGCGUCGGUUGUGAAAGCCCGGGGCUUAACCCCGGGUCUGCAGUCGAUACGGGCAGGCUAGAGUUCGGUAGGGGAGAUCGGAAUUCCUGGUGUAGCGGUGAAAUGCGCAGAUAUCAGGAGGAACACCGGUGGCGAAGGCGGAUCUCUGGGCCGAUACUGACGCUGAGGAGCGAAAGCGUGGGGAGCGAACAGGAUUAGAUACCCUGGUAGUCC
rnacentral:rRNA from 1 species